ACGCCGCUGCGCCGCCGCCGCCGGCUGCCGGGCGCCCGCCGCGAGCGCCCUUGCCCGGCGCUGCCGGGGCCGCUGCCGGGGCCGCCGCCCGCGCCGCCGCCGCCGCCGCCGCCUUCCCAGCCUCGCCGGGGCGCCGGGGCGCGGGGUUCACCUGCUAGCGCUCCGCUGCGCGCUCUCCUCCGCCCGUCCGCCGGCCGUCCUGCCUCCGCUCCGCGGCGCGCUCGUUGCGGUCACCGGCUCUCGCUUCGCCUUUUAUAUUUUUUCAGCUUUUCUUUUUUUUUUUUCCAAAAAAAGAGAAAUAUUUAGCUGUACAUGUAGUUUUCCUCCGCCUUCUUCUCGCCCGGGUUUGCUGCUCGCAGGGAGGAAACCAAACAAAGGCUAAAAAGCGAAAAAAAAAGGGGGGGGGGGAUCAAAAAGCCCCCGUGCCUUCUCCCCUCCGUUCCCCUAGGAGUACAUCUCCUCCUCUCAGCCUUCCCCUCUCAGAGUGAAACUUUUCCUUUUCUUCUUCCUUUAAGGCUUUGUGUGUGGUUAUAUUUUCCUUUUUUUCUGCCUCUCUCUGUGUCUUUCUCUCCUCGGUUCCUCGAUCUCCUUUUGCUCUGUUAAUUGCAAGUUUUGUUGGUGUCCUAAGAAAACUUCCUGUGAUGAUGAUGGUGGUGAUGGUGGUGAUGAUGCAUUUCUCAAAGUUGUGCUGUUGUUGAAGCACUUUGUCCCCUUUGAAACAAGAGUCCUGCCGGAGCCUUCUUGCUAGAGUCACGCUCUGGAUAAGACAUUUUUUUCUCUCUACCUUUCCUUUUGGCGGUCGAAAAAAAAAAGUAAAAAGAAAUUUAAAAAGUUGAAUUUUCUCGUUACCUCGCGAUUUGUUUCCUUCCCUCUCCCGCUCUCUCUCUCUCGCUUGGUUUGUUGUCUUUUUUUUUUUUUUUUUUUUUUGGUUGUGUUUGUUUUGCUUUUUAUUUUAAUUCCAGCAGUUGGUCGAGGGAGGAGGCGGAGGAGGAGCGCCUUGGUGGAGAGGUGUGUGUAUGUGUGUGUGCAUAUAUGGUAUCCUUUAUACACUAACUCCAGCGGGGAAGUUGGCUGCCGGGCUGGCAGCGCGCACUGGCGGUGCCGGAGUCCCGCCGCUCGCCUCUCCCCGCCUCCCUCUCUCGGGCCGUGCCCGCGCCCUCCCUCCUCCCUCCUCCCCCCGCCCUCCGCCCUCCCCCCUCCAGUCCGUCCGUCCGUCCGUCAGUCCCUCCCUCUCUCCCCUCCCUCCCUCCCGCCGCGAGGACGCGGCCGCGCCGCCCCCGCCGAUUGGCUGCGCGCCCCGUGACGGACAGCGCGCCGCCGGCCGCGCGGCCCCCCUUCCGGCCGUUCCGAUUGGCUGCUUUUUAAUUUAGGCGAAGUGGCGUCGGAGAUGGAAGUUGCCCCCCCUUGCUUCUAUCCCUCCUCCCUCUCCCCUUCCUCCUUCCUCCUCCCUCCCUCCGCCUCUUAACUCUUCCUGCCCGGCGGACACACGCACCUCGGAGCUCUCCCGCCGUCGCCGCUCGGGCAGGAGCGAGUGCGGGCGGUAAUAAUUAAUACCAGCAGUAAUAACGACAGUAAUAACGACGCCAGCACUGGGCUGGAUUCGGAAAGGCGUUUGUGCGAAGGUGUCACCAUCGGGCACACGCACCCGCUUCUCUCCCGCCGGCAGCACCCGUACCGGCAUUCGGAGCUGGCCCCCCCUGCGCUCAGCCCCGGAGGCACCCGCCCCCCGCCCGUCCCCUCCUCCCUUUGUCCGCCCCCGCACCCCGGGGUGCGCCCCGGACUCCGGCAGCCCGUCCGCAGCCGUCACGCCGGGGGGCUGGCCCGGCAGCGCCGGAGAAGGGCCGCCCCGUCGGCGGGGGAGGUGGCAAGGGGAGCCGGCGUCCGGGCUUGCCCUGCGCGCUGCGGUCUGCUCGCAGGGAGCCAGCCCCGCGGCAUGAAACGCUGUAUUAUUUCUCGUCCAGCGGAAAGAGUUAAGGGGGGCGGGGGAAGGCGGGGGGCGCGGGGGAGAGAUGCGACCGAGCGGAAACACUGCGCGCAGGCAACCUCAGUGAACCACGGAGAAAGAGAAAGUGGCAACAAAAACAAGGGCAAAUUGAACGCUCCUCGGGGACUGCCGGUGCAAUAACACCGCUCGGACACGGAGGGGACACGGCGCUGCCAGUGACCGCCCCGCCGCGCAGCGCCGUCCCACGCGCGCUCCCGGGCGGCGGGGGCCGCGCGAAGACAACGCGCGGUGCGGGCAUGGGAAUGGGCAGCGUCGUCCCCCGCAUGGCCCUGCCCGCCCCGCUCCCCUCCUCCGCUCGCUGAAUAACCCGGCCCUGGGAGGCGGUGAGCUGCGUCCCGCUGGCAGCGCCCUCCAUGCCGUCCCGCUCCCGCCGCGCUCGGCAGCCGGUGCUCGGGGCUCCCUCCAGCCCCCGGCCGGCACGGCACGAAAUACCAUGGCAGGUCGGGUUAGAAAAACCAUUCAAGUGAAGCGUACGGAUCUUAAGGGCGCUGGUAACUAAACACCAAACAUAAUCAUUAUAUAUAUAUAUAUGUGUGUGUGUGUGUGUGUGUGUGUAUGUGUAUGUAUAUGUAUAUAUAUGUAUAUUUAUAUAUACGUAUAUAUAUAUAUAUGCAUAUAUAUAUAGGUAUAUAUAUUUGUUCCCAUGCGUCCUCCAAAGGUUUCUUUUUAUAUAUAUAAAAGAUCCAACACAGAUUUCAUUGAAUAAAUCUGAGAUCUCCAGGUGCAGACGUUUGAAUAGUCAGUGCCAGAACCCCAUGUUUUCCUUUCCAGCCGAUUUUGCUUGGAUCAAGCUCAAAAACCGAGUGAGUCUCGUGGUUUUGUUUACACUGAAUGGGGAGGAUAGGAACGGUGCCAUGGGGCCGUCUUUCAUUAAUAUACAGUGAGGAUUUUGUCUAAAUUACUGCUAUGAAUUUCACAGUACACGCUUUCAAAAGCCGUCUCAGGUGGCCUGAUGAAACGUGAUAGCGCCUCUGCAAACAGAUCUACUUUCUUAAUAAAAAAGGAAGGUGUGGGGGGGUGUGGAGAAAUCCCCCAAAAAUAAAGAAAAAAAACCAAACCACCGUACACCCUCAUAACAGAGACAACAAAAAAUAAAGCUCAAGCUGGAGUAUGGUCUUUUAUUUAAAAAAAUAUCCCAACAAAAACAAACAACCAACUUCGUUCCCCAACUCUUCCCACCCCCUCCCUUGCAGAGUGAGAUUGUUUUGUCUGGAAAAAAAUCCAAAGUAUAACAAGGGGAGAACAGUUAGUGCUGAUUUUCAUUUGCAUAAAUUUUCAUAUAUUUUGGUGAAAAUAAUAGACUAGUGGAGAGCGGGGCUUAGUGGAGUCAGUGCAAAGGAAAAUCUUAACAUGGAUCGUUUCGCUGGAGUUGAGAACAUGCUUUUUUCCCCCUGUCACCUUAUUAAAAUCAAAAAUUAAAAAAAUAUCUCUAAAUCCUGGGAGUUUGAUCGGCGUCUGCCCCUGAUUUUAAUCCAAAGGAGCUGCUUUUGGAACUGGCGUGUCCGGCUUUGGUGUUUGCCUGCUGAGGAAGAGGCCUAUUCUUUUCUCCCGUCUUGAACAGCAAAGACUUGGAACAGACACUGAGGUCCUAUUGCUCCUGUUGGAAACUUCUGUUGACUGCAGCAUGAGUUGGAUGGGACCCAGAGAAACCAAAUACAGACAAGUAAUGAUGAGUUGGCCAUACAAGCAAGGAAAAUCACAAAAAAACAGAUCUGGUAUAGAGUUGAGCACCCUUAGUGUCUUGUCACUAAAAGCCCCUCCUGACGCGUCCAGAGGAAGGCUGCAAUCAUUCUGAACAGGCACACAGGAAUAUUUCGGCUACCUGCAGCCUCAUCCGAUGAUGCUUAAUGAACUCAACUAUCUCGAUCUUCUGUGCACCAGCAGGGACUUCUUUAAAUGGGUAAACUGUAUAGAACAUUGCUUUCAAGUUUAAUGUACUUGGAAUUAAUCUUAUAAAAUAAUGGCAUAUCUAAAGAUAGGUUAUAUACAUAGCACAGACAUGUAUGUAUGCAUUUAUAUGUACAUGUGUGUGUAUACAUACAUAAGUGCACACAUAUGUAUAGAAAUGCUGAUGUUAUUAACCUUUUUGAAAUCUUUACAGCUAGUCUUAACAUGAAUGUGCUGUUAAAUUUGGCAGUGUUAUACAUUUUUUUUGGAGUUUACUUCUGUAAGAUAAAAUCAUAAAGAUAAGCUGUGAAACUUGUGCAGCUGAUGACAUAAUUCUAGAAUCUUGUGAUGCUGAAUCUCAUAUUUCUAUUCAUGUGGGAUGGAUGUUCCUUGCUGAAAUAAUUAUACUGCCUAUUGCAAUAUAUGUUUCCUUGUUUUUAUGUGGGCACUGAGAUGUCCAAACUAUUAAACAUAUAUGUACAAUAA